rnacentral:rRNA from 1 species
AAUAGAUACCCCGGUAGUCCACGCCGUAAACGAUGGAUACUAGCUGUUUGAGCGCAAGUUUGAGUGGCUAAGCGAAAGUGAUAAGUAUCCCACCUGGGGAGUACGGGCGCAAGCCUGAAACUCAAAGGAAUUGACGGGGGCCCGCACAAGCGGUGGAGCAUGUGGUUUAAUUCGAUGAUACGCGAGGAACCUUACCAGGGCUUAAAUGUAGAUUGACGUAUUUGGAAACAGAUAUUUCUUCGGACAAUUUACAAGGUGCUGCAUGGUUGUCGUCAGCUCGUGCCGUGAGGUGUCAGGUUAAGUCCUAUAACGAGCGCAACCCCUGUUGUUAGUUGCCAGCGAGUAAUGUCGGGAACUCUAGCAAGACUGCCAGUGUAAACUGUGAGGAAGGUGGGGAUGACGUCAAAUCAUCACGGCCCCUACGUCCUGGGCCACACACGUGCUACAAUGGCCGGUACAGAGAGCAGCCACUUAGCGAUAAGGAGCGAAUCUAUAAAGCCGGUCACAGUUCGGAUCGGAGUCUGCAACG